GUACAUUUAAUUUCCCCUACAGUAAAUUAAUGCUAGAACCAGUACUGUGCAUUUUGUAACCAUGAAGAUUCCUUUUAGGAACAUAACACAGUCAAUUAAAUGCUGGGUUUUUUCAUUCCUAUAUCAUAUAAAUAGUAAAUAUAAUAUAUUUAUAAAAUAUAAUAUGUAGUGUUCCAUUAACAGAUUGUAAAAGUCCAAAUGAAAUGAAUCAUAACAAAAUUACCGAAGCCAAAUGUUUUUACAUGAUGGAGAGGUUUCAGCAUCAUCAGUUCAAAAAAAUAUUUUAACUUUUCCCAAUUAAAACAAGCAAACAAACAAACAAUGAAAUAGAAAUGGACUUGUGAAAUGGUUCGAUUUCCAUAAAGAUCAAUCACUGACAGAAAACUGCCUUCCUUUGUGCAGGGGGUGCAUGUGCAC